AAUCAACGCUGGCGGCGUGCCUAACACAUGCAAGUCGCACGAGAAAGGGUCUUCGGAUCUGAGUAAAGUGGCGCACGGGUGAGUAACACGUGACUAAUCUACCCUCGAGUGGGGAAUAACCUAGGGAAACCUGGGCUAAUACCGCAUAACACUUACGAGUCAAAGCAGCAAUGCGCUUGGGGAGGAGGUCGCGGCAGAUUAGCUAGUUGGUGGGGUAAUGGCCCACCAAGGCGAUGAUCUGUAUCCGGCCUGAGAGGGCGCACGGACACACUGGAACUGAAACACGG
rnacentral:rRNA from 1 species